rnacentral:lncRNA from 1 species
CAACAACCUCUGUGAAUGAAUGUGUUCUGACUCUUGAAUCAACACUUUAAUUGCUUUAAUUUGCCUCAGAUCCUGUUCUUUCUACAUAACUGCAAUUUAAAUUCCACCCAUUCUCUAGUGACUUAGAAAUGAAUCCAGUCUCACUGUCAGACUCCCACUGCUACCAAUUACAAUGCUUUACACCCCUUCUGUAUCCAGUAGAGGGUGAUUUUCAGAAUAGAGACGGGCCCCUCCUGGCGACGAUAGGAUAGAGAAAGAUGCAGCUGCUUUGGCAGAAGGCCUUCACAAUUUGUUCAUGGGUAAUCUACAAUGCCACAAUCAUUCAGAUCAGACAUUGCGCUUUAGAAGUUAUGCAGAAGCUAAAUAGAUUCAAAACUGAUGUUUUUUUUCCCCCGUGAGCUGCAUUUUCUCACUAGCCUAUAUAAACUAUAUGCAAACUUUUUCUUUCAAUAUGGUUCCAUAACAGUAAAUAAGAUUUUUCUUACUAUAAUUUCAAUGAAAUAUUUUUAAUGAUUCUAUAUGAAAUGAUUUCAUACAGAAUGCCAGGCUUUACAGGGUUACUCAUAUUCAUUUAUUGCCGUUUUUAAAGUAAAAGUGAAAGUGACGUGACAUACAGCCAAGUAUGGUGACCCAUAAUCAGAAUUCAUGCUCUGCUUUUAACCCAUCCAAGUGCACACAGACAGCAGUGAACACACACACACACACACACACACACACACACACACACACACACCGUGAACACACACCCGGGGCAGUGGGCAGCCAUUUAUGCUGCGGUGCCCGGGGAGCAGUUGGGGGUUCGGUGCCUUGCUCAAGGGCACCUCAGUCGUGGUAUUGCCGGCCCAAAACUUGAACCCACAACCUUAGGGUUAGGAAUCAAACUCUCUAACCAUUAGGCCAUGACUUCCCCUUUUGUACAUUUAACUGUAGUAACUAUGGUAUUUUGAAAUAAACAAUAGUAACCUUAUUAUAUUUCUUUAAGGCACUGUCUGCUAUCUCACAUAUUUUGGCAAAAUACAGUCUAUUGCAUAGUGGUGUUGACUAAAAGCUUCCAGGCUGGAAGUUUGGUGACGGUGAAGGCACCGCCUCCGUUCUGUUCAGUUAUCCCUCCCCUUCCAUCCUUUGCUCACAUUGCUCUUCCAUUCGGUGGGAAAAUUGCUGCUGGAACAUCAACAUCCACGGUGGAUUUGAACUCGGGGACUGUAUUGGAAAAAGCAGGGAUCUGCAACACACGCUGGAGGAUUUUCCUCCAUGUUCUUUCUUUUAUUGUUCAGGAAUGUUCUAGAAUCCCACAUCUGGAGCACUCUGGUCACCCACAGAUAGUGAUUUUUUCUUCCUCCUCUGCAUCACUGCAUGAAAAGACGAACAGUCAAGGCCACACUGAGCCUGGCCCUGUAGCCGCCCUAACCACGACCAUCCCAACUGCAAUUGCAAUGACCAGCUAUGUUGUCAGGACCAGAUUGAGUUUGAAUAUAGUUUUACAGUUCCAAGGACAGUGGCUUGGUGCAUAAAAUGUCCAGCUGUCUUCCUGUGUCUUCGGAAUUCCUUUAAAGAAGUUGACCCAAAAUUGAACAUUUUGUGUCAUUUCAUUUCAUCAUUCAAGUCUUUUGAGCCCAUAUGAUAGCUUUGUGUCAGGAACAGAUGGAAAUCUUUCAUUAUUUACCGACAGUGUUCCCCUCCAGUGAGUUGUUUAUGAAUCAUUUAUUGCGUCAGACUUAACAAGUCAUUGAGUCUUUAAUUUCAAUCUUUUAAAACUAUUGUGAGGCUUUAGAAUUCAACAAAUUCAAUACACAAGUUGGUUGUGGGCUAUUUUAUGGUGUACGGUGAUUCUUGCCGCUUAAUAGAUGUGGUCCCUAUAAAUUGACAUUUUAUGGAAAAGAGCUGAAUAAAGAUUAUUCAUAAAUGGCCAGUAUAACAUAUUAUUUAUUUUAGUUUGUUUAAAUAAACAAUAAACACAUCUAAAAGCUAAAAUCGAUCAUUUUAAAUAUUACAAGUGACUUUAAGCAUCAUGAUAUUAUAAUAUAGGAAGUGGAUAUUCAUUUUAAGAUUUGCUGAAGAUUACAUUUCAAGUGUUAUGAUAUUAUUAGUGUUUUUAAAAAAUGAACUAUUAUAAGGGUUAGAUGAUCGCGAAGGUAAUCUAAAUGUAAAAACAUGAGCACCAUUAAAUAAAUAUAGCAAUCAAAUAUCCAUUAUCUGCCAAUAGCUGUUAUGGUACCACCAGUAUAUAUUAUUGUGCAUUACGUUUAUGUAUCACAACAAUAACAGCAAGAAAUUGUAAACAGCAUAGAAAACAGAACACAGAUUAUUAUUAUUAUUUAUUUUUUUAUUUGUGAUCUUGGUCCAGCAGUGCUUUUGUAAUGGAGACCUUUCUGUAUUCAGGUCUGUCAACGGCCUUCAUCAGCUUGAUUUAAUUACACGUCUUGUUUUGGUCUAGAGGUCAGACCUGCCAGACUUCCCUUCCCUUUCAACUGUCAACCUGGCAGUGGUCAGCAGAUGGUGGAUUGCUUUGUGAAAUACCUCCAUAAGCCACCGAGCCUCCCUCCUUCUCAAGGAAUUCGCUUCACUGAUGGUAGCGCACCAAGUAUGGAGGCAGCUAGCCAGACAGAUGGAAGGUGAAAAAGCACUAUUGCCCCUGCGUUUCUUUUCACUGAAAAGAGAACAACUAUAGUGCGAGUGGUUGCUAUGGUGACCACACAUUUUCAGACGACUCGGACCCAUCUGCUUGCAGGCUGCACGUAGACUGAGAAAGCGGGAGAACGAGAGUGGUAGAGAUUUUCAUAAAGGGCUUUAUGUAGCUACGUGAUCAUGUAUGCUUUUUGAUUGUGAGAAACUGCUCGCACAUGAAACCCACAUCCUUCACGAGUAGUGGUUUUUUACGUAGUGUAGCUAAAUCGAACUGUUAAUGGUUUAUAUGGUAAUUUAUUUUUAUUUUAUUCAGGUUUUCUGUGUCUGAGGGCUUUGCAUGUUUCUCAGAAUUGCAGCUUCUCCAGCUUGCAUGCUGAAUUGACAGUUCAUUCUAAAUGACUAAAUGUAAAUGUAAUGCCUGUUAAAAGCAUUCUGGUGGUCCACACCUGUCCCCGAACCUCACCUUUAAAAUCUCCUCAUUUUUUUUCUGUUUCCCUGUCUCCUCCUCUGGAUUUCAUGGGCUGUAAUCGGUUAUGAUAGUUUUGGAACGCUAGCUCUGGCUGAAGUGUUUGUUUCACACAGCUCAGGCAUGUGCUGACAGAACUAAAUGGCUACAGGAGAUCUGUUCCUCCUAAAUCAUUGAUUCAUCUCUGAAUGUGAAAUAUAAACUCUUUGAUAGCAGAUCAGCAGGAAACCAAAAUGCGGCUGUUGAAGUAGAGCUUAUUGUCCUACGAUCUGACAGCUCUCUUGAGGUACCUCACACCCCCGCCGUGAUAAUUACGGCCAGCUCUGAGGUCUGUGCGACCGCAGAAAUUUUAUCAUACCUCUUGAUAAUCCUUAGCAUCAGAUACAGUUACACAUUCUCUGGCUGUUUUGUAAAGUCAUGUUGAGGGUCAGGAUUAAUCUGUGGAAACCCCUAAUUGGAAGUGGCAGGUAAGCUCAUGAUUAGCAUUUCUGUGAUGUGAAAUGUGUCGGUGUGAUCGGUGCAAGUGUGCUGCUGGAGCCUCAAAAGUAUGUGAAAGUUUUUUACUCUACUGUCACUUUUUUUGUCAGUAUAUUUCAUUUAAAUUGAAUCACAUUCUACCUGCAGAGACAAAACAAUGCAUGAUAUACACUUUUAAAAGUUUAUUCAUAUAAGUCAGUUUUAAAUUGGCACCAUGGUGUGCUUGCAUUUGGUCUGAAGGCCUGAUGAAGUAAAUGAUUCCUAGUAUUUUUUUAAUGUAAAUAUACUUUAGCACACCAUUUUAUAUUUUUAGAUAUUCAUAGGCAUUGAAGAAGUUUUCUUUUAUUUUCAAUGUUGUUUUAGUAAGACUUUUUUUCAUUAGCAUUCUAGAUAAAUAUCCCUUUAAGUCAAGACUGGCUUUUCGUUGGGAAGUGACUGGCUUAAGUAUUCGAUUUCCAUGGAAUGGGAGGAUAAGUUCUGUCAGCUCUGAAUUUGAUGCAUGGGGUUUGGAUUAGGAUCUGCGAUAAGAAACACUGCAUUCUCACAUAUUGUCACCAGAUAACUGGACUCUCUAUUUUUCUUUCUCUUUUUCCACUGUAAUUUAUGUGUGUGGGAUUGGAGAAUAAAUGUUCUAUUAAGAAUUGCCUCAUUCAUGCGUGAAGAGUGUUGUGUCCUGUUAUGAACCGGCACUCGUGUUAAUAAUUGCACCAAUAUCUUUUCCUCAUUACAGCUUCAGGCUCCAUAUCACUAGUGAUGUUUUGACAUAUUGCAAUAGUCACCGAUUUUACAUUAGUCUGCAAACUAUUCAGAUAAGCACUGGGCAAACAUACUGUGUUUGCACACCGCUAAUGUUUUGUCAGCCUUUGAGGACUUUUUUCAAAAGUUCCUGUUCUUUUGUCACUUCUGCUGCGGUGUCUCUGCACUGUAUAUUAUGGUGGUUACCUCAGUGCUAAAAUUAAGCCUGGUCAAGGCCACACUAGCUGUUUAGAAAGACGUGAGGGAAACUUUGUGAGAGUGGAAACUUCAUAUUUUUUUUUGUUUGUUUGUUUGACACACAGCUCCUUGCACAUUCAUUUGUUGCAAAUUAGACUGUAAAUUCUUGUCAAUGGGGCAAAAACCCUCUGAAAGCUGAUUGUGUAUUUCUGAUUGCUUCUGUUUACCUGGACCUGUGUGUUGUAUUGCAGGCAUUUCUCGAUAAAGAUCUUAGGCAUUUUGAAGUUGGAGCUGCAGGAAGGAAGUCUGAUAGAAUGGGGGUUAGUGUCAAAAGGAAGUUGUCUCAGGGGUACAUGACGACCCCCCUUGCUCUCCUUACUGUAGAAACAACUGUUCAAGCCGGCUUCAGAGUGCUUAUAAGUCACCUUUUGGCCCUGCAACAGGGGCCAGUUCAGCUGGGAAUAAAUGCACUACAUCAUUGGAUAUUCUGUACCUUCCUGUGGCCAAUUAGCUUGCACCCCAGGCCCAUAAGCAGUCUGCCAGAUGCACCAUAGCAGUGGUCUGUGGCUUUGAGAAGGAAGGGCUAUGACAUACAGCCUAUGAGUGGUUUUAGAGAGGCCCCUCUCUGAGUCCACACAAGCCUAGAGAUUUGCUGCUUGACCUUCAUUUAGACUGCAACCGGAAUUGGGCCCCUCGAAGCCUGUAACGUUAAAGAAUUUUGAUGUGUCUCGAU